CGUGUGUAGUGUAGCCGUGAGUUCAGUGAAGAAUUCAGCUGCUGGAGGACUUUUCGUCGUAGAUAACAAACAAACAAAAGUAUAUACAUUAUUUUUUGUGGCUACAUUCAGGAACGUGGAUGAAACCAGGAAGGCAAAAACGACAAUGCGAAAAGAAAUUCAGGAAGAGAGUGUUUGCUUAUUAAAAAUUCAGCGCGGGAGAAGAGACAUUAUCGACCUUUCAGAAGACUUGUGGCAGCUCUAAGGAUAAACUUCAACUAACGGGCGUCACGUACCAUUGAAUGGGGUGAAACAAAGCGGAAUUUUCUCUGGAAACUACGAACCCAAAGCAUUUUCAAGCGGCCAAAAACCCACGGGGAAAGGGGAGGAGAGGGGAGCAAAGAAAACGCCCUGCUGCCUGUUGCUGCUAUCUCCAAAUUCAAACUUUAUCGACGAGUUGGCAAAAAAUGUAUCUUUCAUUCAACGGAGGUGAAAAUGCAAAAACAGCGUCGUCUUUAUUAGCUUAAAACCAAAGCCAUAGCUUGGCGAAGGCCCGCACAUUUGGGAGUUUUGUGAGUCUUCCUUCUUUUUUUCGUUGGGAAUAUUUUCUCCUCGUUGUGCACACUAUUCCUGUUGGAAGCGAUUUGGGUGGGCUGAGUGCCCAAGGCUGCUCCGCUAGGCCUACGGCCAUUAGCCAGGAACAAAGAGGACACCCAUGUAAACUUAGUUAAGGAAAAGCCUCUUUAUAUUUUCUAAUUCAACUUUUUAAGUAGCGACGCCGCAGUCAUGUCGCUGGGCGCCGAGAAGAGGAUGGAAAACCGGCUGAAGAAGCUGGAGGACAUGAUCAGAGACCCCAGAUCUGCCAUAAACUUGGAAAGUUUGCUGGACUCCAUAAAUGCGUUGGCCUUGGACUUGGACUACCCGGCACUCCGCAAGAACAAAAACAUCGAAACUUUUUUAAAUAGAUAUGAGAAAGUUAUUGGGGAGCUUCGAGACCUCCAGAUGAAGUCUGAGGACUUCGACAAGGUUAAAAUAAUCGGUCGAGGGGCAUUUGGUGAAGUCCAACUGGUCAGACAUAAAGUCUCUCAGAAAGUCUACGCCUUGAAGCUGCUGAGUAAGUUUGAGAUGAUCAAGCGCUCGGACUCUGCAUUCUUCUGGGAAGAAAGAGACAUCAUGGCGUUUGCCAACAGUCCCUGGGUUGUCCAGUUGUGUUGUGCCUUCCAAGAUGAGCACUACCUCUACAUGGUAAUGGAGUAUAUGCCGGGAGGUGAUCUGGUCAACCUCACCAGCACCUAUGACGUGCCAGAAAAAUGGGCUAAGUUCUACACAGCAGAAGUGGUGAUGGCUCUGGAUGCCAUUCACUCGAUGGGGUUCAUCCACCGCGACGUCAAGCCGGACAACAUGCUGCUGGACAGACUCGGACACCUGAAGCUGGCCGACUUCGGCACAUGCAUGAAGAUGGACUCUACUGGCAUGGUGCACUGUGAUACAGCGGUCGGGACUCCAGACUACAUCUCCCCUGAGGUUCUGAAGUCUCAGGGAGGCGAUGGUUAUUACGGGAGGGAAUGUGACUGGUGGUCCGUGGGCGUCUUUAUUUUUGAGAUGCUCGUGGGUGACACUCCGUUUUACGCCGACUCUCUGGUGGGAACCUACAGUAAGAUCAUGGACCACAAGAACUCACUUAAUUUCCCUGAUGAUGUGGAGAUAUCAGAAAAUGCCAAAAGUAUCAUCUGUGCCUUCCUGACUGACAGGGAGGUGCGAUUGGGCAGGAACGGCGUGGAGGAAAUUAAACGACACCCUUUCUUCAAGAACGACCAGUGGACCUUUGACACCAUCAGAGACACGGUAGCCCCGGUGGUCCCAGAGCUGAGCAGCGACAUAGACACCAGCAACUUUGACGAGAUAGAAGAUGACAAAGGCGACGUGGAAACCUUCCCCACACCUAAGGCUUUUGUUGGAAAUCAGUUACCAUUUGUUGGCUUCACCUACUUCAAAGAAAACCAGUUGCUUAAUUUGGCCAACAAUUCCUCAGUGAUUAAUGAGAAUUCAAAAGGAGAGUCAGCAGCUCUUCAGAAGAAACUCCGCAAUCUGGAGGUGCAGAUGAAUAAUGACAAGCAGGUCAAAGACGAUCUUGAGCACAAAUACAGAACUGCCACCAGCCGUCUAGAAAAAAUGUCGAAGGAACUUGAGGAGGAGGUGAACAGCAGGAAGAACCUGGAGUCCAAUCUGAGGCAGCUGGAGAGAGAAAAGGCCCUGCUGCAGCACAAGAGCCUGGAAAGUCACCGUAAGGCAGAGAGCGAGGCCGACAGGAAGCGCUGCCUGGAGAAUGAAGUCAACAGCCUUCGAGACCAGCUGGAUGAUAUGAAGAGAAGAAACCAGAAUUCUCACAUUUCCAAUGAGAAGAACAUUCACCUGCAGAAACAGCUGGAGGAGGCGAACACAUUGUUGAGGGCAGAGUCUGAAGCAGCGACGAGGCUUCGUAAAGCCCAGACGGAGGGCAGCAAGCAGCUGCAGCAACUAGAGGCCAACGUGCGCGAGCUGCAGGACAAGUGCUGCCUGCUGGAGCGCAGCAAGCUGAGUCUGGAGAAGGAGUGCAUGACCCUGCAAGCUGCGCUUGAGACGGAGAGGAGGGAGCACAGCCAAGGCUCAGAAACAAUCAGCGACCUGAUGGGACGUAUUUCUGCACUGGAGGUGGAGGCUCGCCAGCAGAGACAGACGCUGUCCAAAACUGAGACUGAGAAGAGGCAUCUUCAGGAGAAACUCACUGAUCUGGAGAAGGAGAUGAGCAACAAGGAGAUCAAUUUGACCUACAAGAUGAAGGUUCUGCAGCAGGAGCUGGAGCAGGAGGAGGCCUCUCAUAAGGCCACCAGGUCUCUGCUGGCAGACAAAAGCAAAAUCAAAGUGACCAUUGAGGGGGCCAAGUCAGAGUCCAUGAAGGAGAUGGAGCAGAAACUGGCAGAGGAGCGAGCAGCCAAACUGCGACUAGAGAACAGAAUUCUGGAGCAGGAGAAGCACAGCAGCAUGAUGGACUGCGACUACAAACAGGCCUUACAGAAGCUGGAUGAGCUGCGCAGACACAAGGACCACCUCACCGAGGAGGUGAAGAACCUGACAUUGAAGAUCGAGCAGGAGACCCAGAAGCGUAACCUGACCCUGAACGAUCUGAAGGCCCAGAACCAGCAAGUCAACGUCCUGAGAACCUCUGAGAAACAGCUGAAGCAGGAAACCAAUCACCUGCUGGACAUUAAACGCAGCCUGGAGAAGCAGAACCAAGAACUGCGCAAAGAAAGACAGGACACAGAUGGACAAAUGAAAGAAUUACAGGACCAGCUGGAGGCUGAGCAGUAUUUCUCUACUCUUUAUAAGACUCAGGUUCGAGAACUGAAGGAGGAGUGUGAGGAGAGGAACAAACUCUACAAAGAGGUGCAACAGUCUCUGCAGGAGCUGCAGGAGGAGAGGGACUCCUUGGCAGCCCAGCUGGAGAUCACCUUGACAAAGGCUGACUCAGAGCAGCUGGCUCGCUCCAUUGCAGAGGAGCAGUACUCGGACCUGGAGAAGGAGAAGAUAAUGAAGGAGCUGGAACUGAAGGAGAUGAUGGCUCGCCACCGUCAGGAGCUUGCAGAGAAGGACAUCACCAUCAGCUCACUGGAAGAGGCCAACAGAACCCUGACCAGUGAUGUUGCUAACCUGGCCAAUGAGAAGGAGGAGCUGAACAACAAACUGAAGGAAGCACUUGAAGAAUCGGAGAAGUCAAAAGAUUGGGAGCUUCAGAUCAGCCAGAUGAAACAGGCGUUUGAGAAGCAGCUGCAGUCUGAGAGGACGCUGAAAACUCAGGCCGUCAAUAAACUGGCGGAGAUCAUGAACCGGAAGGAAGUUCGUGGUGGAGGUAGUCGCCGUGGUAAUGACACAGACAUGCGGCGAAAGGAGAAGGAGAACAGGAAGCUGCAGCUGGAGCUGAGGUCGGAGAAGGAAAAGCUGAACAGCACUAUGAUAAAAUACCAGAAGGAGAUCAAUGAAAUGCAAGCACAACUGGCAGAAGAGAGCCAGAUGCGUAUCGAGCUGCAGAUGGCUCUGGACAGUAAGGAUAGCGACAUUGAGCAGCUGAGGAAUCUCCUGCAGUCGCUCAGUGUUCAGUCGAUGGACUCUGCCAGCGUCAGCAGCGGGCCCGAGUUCGAUGCUGAUGAUGCAUACACGGAAAUGAGGCUCGAGGGUUGGCUAUCCCUUCCUGUCAGGAACAACACCAAGAAGUUCGGAUGGGAGAAAAAGUACGUCGUAGUGAGCAGCAAGAAGAUUCUCUUCUACAACAGCGAGCAAGACAGAGAGCAGUCCAUUCCCUGCAUGGUGCUCGAUAUAGACAAACUCUUCCAUGUGAGGCCUGUAACUCAAACAGAUGUGUAUCGUGCUGACGCCAAGGAGAUCCCCAGGAUAUUCCAGAUUCUUUAUGCCAAUGAAGGCGAAAGCAAAAAGGAGCCUGAGUUUCCUGUGGAGCCGCUGCCCAUCGGAGAGAAGUCCAGCUACAUCUGCCACAAAGGCCAUGAGUUUAUUCCCACACUCUACCACUUCCCCACCAACUGUGAGGCGUGCACCAAGCCGCUGUGGAACAUGUUCAAGCCGCCGCCUGCUCUGGAGUGCCGGCGUUGCCACAUCAAGUGCCACAAGGACCACAUGGACAAGAAGGAGGAGAUCAUCGCUCCCUGCAAAGUGAACUACGACGUGUCUACAGCCAAGAACCUGCUGCUGCUGGCCACCUCCCAGGAGGAGCAGCAGAAGUGGGUGAGCCGGUUGGUCAAGAAGAUUCCCAAGAAGCCCCCACCACCAGAGCACUUUGCACGCUCCUCGCCACGCGCCUCCAUGAAGGUUCAGCCCAGCCAGUCCAUGAGAAGGCCCAGUCGACAGCUUUCCACCAGCAAGAGCAGCCCUCGCAGGUCAAACGGCUUCAAAAUGAAGCGAGAAGAAUCCAGCAGCUUUUGGUACACAUGAAGACGUUUCUGCUCUUGUUCUUUUGCCCAGAAGUUUCCCUGUAAAUAACUGGCUUCUGAAAUUUAACGCUGCCUGGAAGUGUGAUGCAUCUUCAGGGCGGUGCAAUACAUUUCCUCCAACAAACCUGCACACUGAACUCUUUAUCACCACAUCCCACAGUUUUAGUCCAUUCGUUCCUGUUGCUCGACUUGCCACUUAAGGACUUUCAAGCUCACUUGCAAUCUUUGCUGCGAGCUGGUGUGACUCGUAAACAUAUUAGCCAAAGUCGGUUUGGGGCUUUGGAGAAACUCAUUCAACUCCCACAGAGGAGAGCUCUCCAAGGGCUGAACAAGGCGGGCAAAAACAGGAUUCACUUACCUCAACAGAUCUUACCAGGACACACUGAGGAAAGGAUCGAGCAGGAAAACUUCUCCACAUCAUCAUUUGGGGGAUUUUUGUGGCCAAAUUAAAGACAUUGUGUGUUUAAUGAUUGUGAACUAUAUGAAGGGUUUAAUGGGGAACACUACACUCAGAAGAUUCUGUAGUUUUCUUGUCUGAGGUUGUUAAACUUUUCCCUGGUAGUGUCUAUACUUUAAAGCUAUUUAACAUUAUUGUAGCAUCUCUCUCGCUUCCCACAGUUCUGCUUUCUGGUGAGUCAGAGUCCUGAAUGAGGUACUAAAGCACAACGAGUUGUGACUUCUUAAAAAGUCACCGAUGUUCGGGAGGGAGUGUGAAAUUCCUCCUGGAUUUGGGUAAAAUAAUUCAUUGAGUGCCUCUUAUUCAGAUUUCUGAUGCAAAAUUACCCAUUGGUCUACGGUUUUGAGCAAAAGCUCCUGUUCUGGCACAAGAUGCUCACCAUCCCAUAAUCUUACAAACCUGCACUGCCAGUUUGGAGGGUUAAUGUUUACCGAAUUCAGGGGCGCACAGUUAAUACUUCUCUGAUCUAAUUCUGUUGUUUUUGAAUGUAUAUCUGGGCUUUACCAGAGAGGCAUUUUAUCACCAAAUAUACUUGAGCAAAGCUCAUAAACCGCUUCGUGCAUUUUGCUGUUCUUUUUUUUUUUUUAGGCUCAGCUUGCCUACAGGCCUCCAACUUACUAGCAGACAGUGUUUUAAGAAAAAUGAAGUUGAUCAAAUCUUGGCCCAGUAAGACAAAAUACUGAGCAACACCCGCCCUAAUGAAAGUUUUCUAAAAGUUUUUGUCCUGAUUUUUGUUUUGUAUUAAAAUGAACCAAACUCUGAGUUUGGACACUUGGUUGUGUGUAUGUGGCUUAAAUAACCGGUGGAGAGUCGACUUUGUGAGUGUGUGUGUACCGAGUGCUCUCCUUUAACCAAGAAGCAUGUUUUAUACGUAUAAAUAUCCACAGUAUAUAUUUUACAUGCCAUACAGUGCACAUUAUAUUAUUUAUACAGCCUUGUACACUUUGUAUUUAAGGGCUUUACAUCCAGAUUGCAUGUUUGCUACCAAACAGCUCUAUAAUAACAAUAAUAACCACUUUAACAAUAAAGACAUGGAUGUG